GUUAAUUGUUCUUGCUUUAUGAUUUGGUCAUUUCAGGUUUCAAUCAUCAAGUUGAGCAUCUUGUAUUGAUCUGUUCAAGAUCCAGAGCAGUGUUUGGGGGUGAUAAGCAGGUCAAAUCACUACAGUUUUUAUACUCACAGUGAGGCAAGUUUUCUCAAAAAUAGAAUUUCCACAAACAAGGAGAUCCAAUCCUGAUAAAUAAAAGUUCACAAGAGUAGAAAUGGUGUAAAAAGCCCAACAUCUAAUGUACCAAAAAGAAUCCCAAUGAAUCAUCCAGAGUAUAAAAAUAAAUGAAACCUAAACACACACACAGAUUUCUUAUAGAGCAUCACAAAGAUAAUUGAAAAGAAAUUAGAAUACCAUAAAAAAGAAGACCAUUGAUGCAUAGCUAAAAAUGAAAAAGCUUCUCGGGCAACAGAAAAGAGGGAGAACCACUUAGCAGCUUGCCAAUUCCAUAC
rnacentral:lncRNA from 1 species